ensembl:miRNA
GUGUGCCACCUGCAUGUUUUCUGUACAAAUCAGAAAAGGAUUUGGACAGAAAACACGCAGGAAGAAGGAA